GUCGAAGUGCUUAUGUGCGGAGAACUCACAGUGUGCGCGAUGGUGUUGGCGUAGGUGUCGGCGAUCCACGACAUUUCCCGCUCGCCUGUGCUCAUGUCUGGAGCCGGGACGUCGAUGCCGGGUCCUGGUGAAGUUUACAGGGUUAGAAACGGCAGAUCCACAUGUAUGGAGGAAACACACCAGGAGGAUUCUUAAACCACUACAAAAAUUCUAUGAUCAAAAAAAAAAACUGUUCCAGAGCACGGUCCAAAAACAAGAGGCGAGGUUGCUGGAACGUGGUGGGGGAGGGGCAAUGAUGGAUGGCAUGCCUCUGUGUGAGAGGUAACAAAGGAAGAUCUCCAUCGAGACGGAGAGACUUAAAACUGAAGAAAGAUAAGGAAGACUUCUAUAAACAAGUUAUCGAUGCCUUUGAUCAGAAGGAGCUGCGCAUGGACUUCAUUUAUAAGUAAAAGAGAUUUAGGAAGCUGGCAAGUUUAUUAUCACUGACUUUUUCUG